AGGUACGCAGAAAACUGUUUUUCACGCCUCUCCGAGUGGCCAUGCUCAGGAACUCUGGCUGGCGUACCAUGUUUACGUUGUCGCGUAGGUGUGUGGUGUCCCGUUGCUCAACCCGUAUACGGAGAGCGAUGACGUGCAACUUGUUGCCAUAUCCGGUUCCGCCAACCCAUCACCGACAGAGAACGUGACGAGGCAUCUACGGGGGAGCGCGACUCCACCUCAGAGUUCGUGCGCGUAUACUCUUCAAGCACGCCACCUCGGAGACCCAAGUGACGUGGACAUCGAUAUGCCGAGCGUCCUGGCAGUCGCUCGACUCCAGCAAGCCUGAGCACGCCUCCUAGCCACAUCCUCUGUUCAACACGCGGCGCACACCUGAGCAUUCGGCGACUCUCGCCAUUCACCACCUCGAAUAAUCACCA